UUAAAAAGCUCGUAGUUGAAC
rnacentral:siRNA from 1 species